UACAGAGGGGGCAAGCGUUGUUCGGAAUUACUGGGCGUAAAGGGCGCGUAGGCGGCCUGUUAAGUCGAACGUGAAAUCCCCGGGCUCAACCCGGGAACUGCGUCCGAAACUGGCAGGCUCGAAUUCGGGAGAGGGAUGCGGAAUUCCAGGUGUAGCGGUGAAAUGCGUAGAUAUCUGGAGGAACAUCGGUGGCGAAGGCGGCAUCCUGGACCGAUAUUGACGCUGAGGCGCGAAAGCCAGGGGGAGACA
rnacentral:rRNA from 1 species